rnacentral:lncRNA from 1 species
AUGAACAGGACAGGAGCCUGGGAUGAAGCUGGUGCUGCUCAGACCGUGGGCAGGUUGCCCCAAAGCAGGAUCCUUCCACCUGGCCACGACUCCGAAUUCCUGGCUGCUGUCUGGGCUUCGGUGCAGAGCCCUGUCCCCGAAGACCGGGGCAGCCGUGGGGACCCCAUGGCCAGCGAGGUGCCUCGCGUCGCCAAACACCUGAGGGACAUCGAUGGGAGAUUUCAGAGCUUACGGGAGCUCUUCCGAAAAGGAGAAGUUUUUUCAGGCCCUGUUGAAGCCAGACUGGCAGACCUCCUGCAAGCCAUCUCCUCCUUCCUGAACACGUACCCUGCUUUGACCGGGGAUGCCAUCCAGCCCGCCGUAGCGACCCUAAUCACCAAAAUCCACGGUCUCGACAGUCAAGAACGGGUCCCUGAAAACAAGAAGCGAUACAGUGAGAUAUUCCGGAGCCUGGAUGACUUGGAGAUCUCCAUCGGCAACGCGACAGUUGAUUUGUUCAUUGGUGAUGCUGACGGCACUGACGACACAGACCUGUCUGCAGAAAGAGAGAUCGUUCCGCUGAAUGAAAGUUUCUGCAAGAGCAAAAGCAGUUCAGAAAAACAAGUGCACACAGACAUGACAGGUAAGACCACAAAUUAACACGAUUCUGUGAAUAUUUCAUCAAUUAAUGUCUUCUUAGGAAGGUGAUCGUGAGGUCCUGACUUCCAAAUACUGAGACCCCAGUCUCAAAAUGUUUUAGGCACAGUGAAGAUCUUUCUUUGAAGCACUUUUGUUGCCCACUGGGAUGAUUCUCUUUGGGUCUGUGCUUGUCACUGGCAUCAUAAAACGCGACACUAAAUUGUUUUUUUAUAUGAAGUCCCCACAAAGGAAAAAACAAAAAAAAAAAAAAGGAGAUUUUCUAAGCUGCUUUCUCUCAGAUUUCAACUUAAAAUGUCAGGGAAAGACCUCUUUUUAUGGCUGUUAUCUGGGUAUUCAGAGCACCAACUCCAAUUUUUGCCACUCCUGGGGGAGCCUCUGUCCAUCAGCUAGAGCCACGCUGAAUCUGGAUUUUUUU